rnacentral:rRNA from 1 species
GCAUAUCAAUAAGCGGAGGAAAAGAAACCAACCGGGAUUGCCUCAGUAACGGCGAGUGAAGCGGCAAGAGCUCAAAUUUGAAAUCUGGCCCCUCCGGGGUCCGAGUUGUAAUUUGCAGAGGAUGCUUCGGGUGUGGCCCCUGUCUAAGUGCCCUGGAACGGGCCGUCAGAGAGGGUGAGAAUCCCGUCUUGGGCAGGGUGCCCAUGCCCGUGUGAAGCUCCUUCGACGAGUCGAGUUGUUUGGGAAUGCAGCUCUAAAUGGGUGGUAAAUUUCAUCUAAAGCUAAAUACCGGCCGGAGACCGAUAGCGCACAAGUAGAGUGAUCGAAAGAUGAAAAGCACUUUGAAAAGAGAGUUAAACAGCACGUGAAAUUGUUGAAAGGGAAGCGCUUGCGACCAGACUCGGCCUCGGGGUUCAGCCAGCACUCGUGCUGGUGUACUUCCCCGGGGGCGGGCCAGCGUCGGUUUGGGCGGCCGGUCAAAGGCCCCAGGAAUGUAUCACCCUCCGGGGUUGUCUUAUAGCCUGGGGUGCAAUGCGGCCAGCCUGGACCGAGGAACGCGCUUCGGCACGGACGCUGGCAUAAUGGUUGCAAACGACCCGUCUUGAAACACGGACCAAGGAGUCUAACAUCUACGCGAGUGUUCGGGUGUCAAACCCGUACGCGCAGUGAAAGCGAACGGAGGUGGGAGCCCCCCCGGGGCGCACCAUCGACCGAUCCUGAUGUCUUCGGAUGGAUUUGAGUAAGAGCGUAGCUGUGGGGACCCGAAAGAUGGUGAACUAUGCCUGAAUAGGGCGAAGCCAGAGGAAACUCUGGUGGAGGCUCGCAGCGGUUCUGACGUGCAAAUCGAUCGUCAAAUUUGGGUAUAGGGGCGAAAGACUAAUCGAACCAUCUGGUAGCUGGUUCCUGCCGA